UGGGGAAUCUUCCGCAAUGGACGAAAGUCUGACGGAGCAACGCCGCGUGAGUGAAGACGGCCUUCGGGUUGUAAAGCUCUGUGAUCCGGGACGAAAGAGCCUGAGGUAAAUAGCCUAAGGAAGUGACGGUACCGGAAAAGCAAGCCACGGCUAACUACGUGCCAGCAGCCGCGGUAAUACGUAGGUGGCAAGCGUUGUCCGGAAUUAUUGGGCGUAAAGCGCGCGCAGGCGGCUUCCUAAGUCCAUCUUAAAAGUGCGGGGCUUAACCCCGUGAUCGGAUGGAAACUGGGAAGCUGGAGUAUCGGAGAGGAAAGUGGAAUUCCUAGUGUAGCGGUGAAAUGCGUAGAGAUUAGGAAGAACACCGGUGGCGAAGGCGACUUUCUGGACGAAAACUGACGCAGAGGCGCGAAAGCGUGGGGAGCAAACAGG
rnacentral:rRNA from 1 species